UACGGAGGGGGCUAGCGUUGUUCGGAAUUACUGGGCGUAAAGCGCACGUAGGCGGACUGUUAAGUCAGGGGUGAAAUCCCAGAGCUCAACUCUGGAACUGCCUUUGAUACUGGGUGUCUUGAGUAUGGAAGAGGUGAGUGGAAUUCCGAGUGUAGAGGUGAAAUUCGUAGAUAUUCGGAGGAACACCAGUGGCGAAGGCGGCUCACUGGUCCAUUACUGACGCUGAGGUGCGAAAGCGUGGGGAGCAAACAGG
rnacentral:rRNA from 1 species